UACGUAGGUGGCAAGCGUUGUCCGGAUUUACUGGGCGUAAAGGAUGCGUAGGCGGACAUUUAAGUCAGAUGUGAAAUACCCGAGCUUAACUUGGGUGCUGCAUUUGAAACUGGGUGUCUAGAGUGCAGGAGAGGUAAGUGGAAUUCCUAGUGUAGCGGUGAAAUGCGUAGAGAUUAGGAAGAACACCAGUGGCGAAGGCGGCUCUUUGGUCUGUAACUGACGCUGAGGCGCGAAAGCGUGGGGAGCGAACAGG
rnacentral:rRNA from 1 species